GAUGAACGCUGGCGGCGUGCCUAACACAUGCAAGUGGAGCGACGAACCCGGACUUGUCCGGGGGCAAAGCCGCGAACGGGUGAGUAACACGUGGAUUAUCUGCCCCAAUGACCGGGACAACCCGAGGAAACUCGGGCUAAUACCGGAUGUGCUCUUCGGAGGAAAGGAAGCUUCGGCCUCCGCAUUGGGAUGAGUCCGCGGCGCAUUAGCUAGUUGGUGGGGUAAUGGCCUACCAAGGCGACGAUGCGUAGCUGGUCUGAGAGGACGAUCAGCCACACUGGAACUGAGACACGGUCCAGACUCCUACGGGAGGCAGCAGUGGGGAAUCUUGCGCAAUGCACGAAAGUGUGACGCAGCAACGCCGCGUGCGGGAAGAAGGUCUUCGGAUCGUAAACCGCUUUCAGUUGGGACGAGGGUCAGCUGGUGAAUAGCCAGUCUGACUGACGGUACCUUCAGAAGAAGCCCCGGCUAACUACGUGCCAGCAGCCGCAGUAACAC
rnacentral:rRNA from 1 species